CGCCGCUGAGAGGGUGGACGGCCACAUUGGGACUGAGACACGGCCCAAACUCCUACGGAAGGCAGCAG
rnacentral:rRNA from 1 species